GGUGGUGUAGAUUAAUUGGUUAUGCCAGUUCCACGGAAUGGAGGAGACGCGGAUUCGAAUCCCGCCGGUGCCC